rnacentral:rRNA from 1 species
UACGAAGGGGGCUAGCGUUGCUCGGAAUCACUGGGCGUAAAGCGCACGUAGGCGGGUUUUUAAGUCGGAGGUGAAAUCCUGGAGCUCAACUCCAGAACUGCCUUCGAUACUGGCGAUCUUGAGGCUGGAAGAGGUUAGUGGAAUUCCCAGUGUAGAGGUGAAAUUCGUAGAUAUUGGGAAGAACACCAGUGGCGAAGGCGGCUAACUGGUCCAGAUCUGACGCUGAGGUGCGAAAGCGUGGGGAGCAAACAGG